AGUCAGAGGUGUGAGAUGGUUGCUGUGAGGACUGAGAAAGGUCAGUGCUUGGAGGAGCUGCUUGCAAAAAAAAACCAUCGAGGAGGCUGCCAUUCAAGCAGAUACUUUGAAGGACAACAAACAACAUUGGGAUUGAAGUGAUCAAGGAGAGCAGUGGUGUGGGGAAGGUGGCUCUGAAAGCAAGAAGUGACAGAGAAACCCCAUGAAACCCCAUGAACCAAAGUCCUUGCAAGACUCUUGAGCAUUGUGGACACAGAUUAUCAGCAGGAAUUCCUAGAAAGAGCCCUCAGUAAUGUCAUUCAGCCAGAUUUAAGGAGACUGCAUAGCCAGACAUGUGUCAGAUACCCACAGAGCUCAGUACAGAAGCUUAUUCUCCAAAUAUGACUGCUUUUUAAAUGCUAUGAACACAGGGGACUUGGAGCUUAGUGUAAUUUGAAGUUUCAGGAAGAUAUGAAUGGUUCUGAGACAAAUAUUUAAGGAGACUGUUCCUUUGGAAGCAAGCUGGCUUGCUGCUCACCUCUCCAUACUGUGAGCUCUCAGCAGUUACUGGUGGAGCAUUAAUUUUUUACUAUGAAAUGUAAUGUCUCAUCUUUCAUUAAUAAAUUUUCUCAGAAGAAGAGGUGAUGGCAUUUCACUGACAGGACAAACAAGGAAAGCCUUGUGGAAGCAGAAGAUUCUGCCUGUUCACCACCAAAGACACUGCAAGGGCAAUGGAGCGCUCAGAUCCCUGUAGAGGUGCAGUCAAAUUCGAAAGAUCUUUUCCUGAAGGCCUAAACCUUUUCAGAGAACAAAACCAAGCCAGCAACCUCUGCUUGUGAGGGUUCCUCUGGGAUACCCAGCUGUCCUUGCUUUGCACUGAAAUUUCCAGAAGGAAACAAAACAAACACAUCACCUAGUUUGAACUGAAAUUGUUGCCUAACUUUCAUCUCCAAAACUUUCUACUGUAAAGCCACAGAAAAGAGCUUUUAUGAAUCUGAAGACUUCUGUCCUCCAAGUUCUGCUCACCUCAUAGCUGAGUCUGAUCAGCCUGUAGGAUGAGAUGAGAACUACCCCUGGCCUGAUG